rnacentral:rRNA from 1 species
UAAUACGUAGGGGGCAAGCGUUGUCCGGAUUUAUUGGGCGUAAAGAGCGUGUAGGCGGCCAGGUAGGUCAGCUGUGAAAACUCGAGGCUCAACCUCGAGAUGUCGGCUGAAACCAUCUGGCUAGAGUCCGGAAGAGGAGAAUGGAAUUCCCGGUGUAGCGGUGAAAUGCGCAGAUAUCGGGAAGAACACCCGUGGCGAAGGCGGUUCUCUGGGACGGUACUGACGCUGAGACGCGAAAGCGUGGGGAGCGAACAGGAUUAGAUACCCUGGUAGUCCACGCCGUAAACGAUGAAUGCCAGCCGUUAGUGGGUUUACUCACUAGUGGCGCAGCUAACGCUUUAAGCAUUCCGCCUGGGGAGUACGGUCGCAAGAUUA